UACGUAGGGGGCAAGCGUUAUCCGGAAUUACUGGGUGUAAAGGGAGCGUAGACGGCGAGACAAGUCUGGAGUGAAAGGCCGGGGCCCAACCCCGGGACUGCUCUGGAAACUGCCUGGCUGGAGUACAGGAGAGGUAAGUGGAAUUCCUAGUGUAGCGGUGAAAUGCGUAGAUAUUAGGAGGAACACCAGUGGCGAAGGCGGCUUACUGGACUGUAACUGACGUUGAGGCUCGAAAGCGUGGGGAGCAA
rnacentral:rRNA from 1 species